rnacentral:rRNA from 1 species
CCUACGGGAGGCAGCAGUGGGGAAUAUUGCACAAUGGGCGAAAGCCUGAUGCAGCAACGCCGCGUGAGCGAUGAAGGCCUUCGGGUUGUAAAGCCCUGUCCUCAAGGAAGAUAAUGACGGUACUUGAGGAGGAAGCCCCGGCUAACUACGUGCCAGCAGCCGCGGUAAUACGUAGGGGGCUAGCGUUAUCCGGAAUUACUGGGCGUAAAGGGGGCGUAGGUGGUUUCUUGAGUCAGAGGUGAAAUCCCCGCGGGCAACGUGGGAACUGCCUUUGAAACUGGGUAACUGGAGUGUGUGAGAGGAUAGUGGAAUGCGUGGUGUAGCGGUGAAAUGCAUAGAUAUCACGCAGAACUCCGAUUGCGAAGGCAGCAUACCGGCGCCCUACUGACGCUGAGGCACGAAAGCGUGGGUAUCGAACAGGAUUAGAUACCCCUGUAGUC